rnacentral:rRNA from 1 species
UACGAAGGGGGCUAGCGUUGCUCGGAAUCACUGGGCGUAAAGCGCACGUAGGCGGCUUUUUAAGUCAGAGGUGAAAUCCUGGAGCUCAACUCCAGAACUGCCUUUGAUACUGGAGAGCUUGAGUCCGGGAGAGGUGAGUGGAACUGCGAGUGUAGAGGUGAAAUUCGUAGAUAUUCGCAAGAACACCAGUGGCGAAGGCGGCUCACUGGCCCGGUACUGACGCUGAGGUGCGAAAGCGUAGGGAGCAAACAGG